rnacentral:rRNA from 1 species
UACGGGGGGGGCAAGCGUUGUUCGGAAUUACUGGGCGUAAAGGGCUCGUAGGCGGCCAACUAAGUCAGACGUGAAAUCCCUCGGCUUAACCGGGGAACUGCAUCUGAUACUGGAUGGCUUGAGUUUGGGAGAGGGAUGCGGAAUUCCAGGUGUAGCGGUGAAAUGCGUAGAUAUCUGGAGGAACACCGGUGGCGAAGGCGGCAUCCUGGACCAACACUGACGCUGAGGUGCGAAAGCGUGGGGAGCGAACAGG